rnacentral:rRNA from 1 species
CCUACGGGAGGCAGCAGUGGGGAAUAUUGCACAAUGGGGGAAACCCUGAUGCCGCGACGCCGCGUGAGUGAAGAAGUAAUUCGUUACGUAAAGCUCUAUCAGCAGGGAAGAAAUACUGACCUUACGUUCAGCCUCCGGUACCUGCGUCAGACGCCCCGGCUAACUCCGUGCCAGCAGCCGCGGUAAUACUGCGGGGGCAAGCCUUAUCCGGAUUUACUGGGUGGAAAGGGGGCGUAGACUGCAGCGCAAGUCUGGAGUGAACUGCCGGGGCCAAACCCCGGAACUGCUCUGGAAACUGUGAAGCUGGAGUGCAGGAGAGGUAAGCGGAAUUCCUGGUGUAGCGGUGAAAUGCGUAGAUAUCAGGAGGAACACCGGCGGCGAAGGCGGCUUACGGGACUGUAACUGACGUUGAGGCUCGAAGGCGUGGGGAGCAAACAGGAUUAGAUACCCCAGUAGUC